CCCCUCCCUACUAAAAAUUAUAUAAUCAAUCGCUCCUCACAAUCCCAGGGCAGCCCUUUCUGCCCAAAGGUCCUGUUCCCAUGCUUUAAUAAAAACCACUUUUUU